GAGUUUGAUCAUGGCUCAGGAUGAACGCUAGCGGCAGGCUUAACACAUGCAAGUCGAGGGGUAUAGUUCUUCGGAAUUAGAGACCGGCGCACGGGUGCGUAACGCGUAUGCAAUCUACCUUUCACAGAGGGAUAGCCCAGAGAAAUUUGGAUUAAUACCUCAUAGUAUAACGAUUCCGCAUGGAGAUGUUAUUAAAGUCACAACGGUGAAAGAUGAGCAUGCGUCCCAUUAGCUAGUUGGUAAGGUAACGGCUUACCAAGGCUACGAUGGGUAGGGGUCCUGAGAGGGAGAUCCCCCACACUGGUACUGAGACACGGACCAGACUCCUACGGGAGGCAGCAGUGAGGAAUAUUGGACAAUGGGCGCAAGCCUGAUCCAGCCAUGCCGCGUGCAGGAUGACGGUCCUAUGGAUUGUAAACUGCUUUUGCACAGGAAGAAACAACGCUACGUGUAGCGCCUUGACGGUACUGUGAGAAUAAGGAUCGGCUAACUCCGUGCCAGCAGCCGCGGUAAUACGGAGGAUCCAAGCGUUAUCCGGAAUCAUUGGGUUUAAAGGGUCCGUAGGCGGUUUAGUAAGU
rnacentral:rRNA from 1 species